rnacentral:rRNA from 1 species
UGGGGAAUUUUGGACAAUGGGGGAAACCCUGAUCCAGCCAUGCCGCGUGCGGGAAGAAGGCCUUCGGGUUGUAAACCGCUUUCAGCCGGAAAGAAAUUGCCAUUCCUAAUACGAGUGGUAGAUGACGGUACCGGAAGAAGAAGCACCGGCUAACUACGUGCCAGCAGCCGCGGUAAUACGUAGGGUGCGAGCGUUAAUCGGAAUUACUGGGCGUAAAGCGUGCGCAGGCGGAUGCUUAAGUCAGAUGUGA